rnacentral:rRNA from 1 species
UACGAAGGGGGCUAGCGUUGUUCGGAUUUACUGGGCGUAAAGCGCACGUAGGCGGAUUGGUCAGUUAGGGGUGAAAUCCUGGAGCUCAACUCCAGAACUGCCUUUAAUACUGCCGGUCUCGAGUCCGGAAGAGGUAAGUGGAACUCCUAGUGUAGAGGUGGAAUUCGUAGAUAUUAGGAAGAACACCAGUGGCGAAGGCGGCUUACUGGUCCGGUACUGACGCUGAGGUGCGAAAGCGUGGGGAGCAAACAGG